GUGAGGAGAUCACCAGUUAGCUCGGUAUUGCACUGCAUCCAGGCAGCAGCAAGAGGAUGUUGCAAGGAUGGAGGACCUGGUUGACAUGAAUGCUAAGGAAAGGUUACAGGUUUCAUAAGGAGGAAGGAAGAAAUAGAGGGUGGCAGAGGUGUACUGAGCUAUCCAGAAACACCAUCGCUGAAAACCACCACACACAGGAGAGAAGAGAAGACACAUGCUUGGGCUGAUUGGAUGGCACUGCUAUGUAUUCUGCAAGAAGUAACAGCAGGGAAAGGAUACGAUAUUUUUGAUUCUUUGUUGUUUGCUUGGAACAUUUCAGUUCCUGAACUGUGACACAUAAACCUGCAGGACCAUGUAAAUACCAACUCGUUUUGAGGCAUCAACCAUUCAGACUAUGGACUGAAAGAACAAACACCCUGCACAAGCAGAGAUAGACAGCCUGUAUAGUAUAGUGGAUUAUCUGCUUUGCUCAGCAGCUUGAGGUUUUCCAUUGUGCCACCAUUAUCACAGAAAAACAACAGGAUGGCGUCCCCCUUCAGAAAAUGGGAAGAAAGUUUGCCUACACCUCCUCCAGUCUGUUCAUGACCCCCAACACUGCAAACCCUCAGCCUCACGCAGAACAGUUACAUGACUCCAGAGAAUGAACUAUAUCUAUCUACUAGUGGGAGCUGUGAAUCUUGACAUCACACAGAUUUCUGUUCCCUCUUACCAGAAGAGAAGUUCCCUUUCUUGGCUAUAGAGGAAGAAAAAAAGGUCUCAGAUGUUCCUUCCCUGGCCUAAAACUGGCUGAUUGUAGCUCACACUCCAAGGACAAAGUAUGUGAAAUUUAAGAUGGGUGGGAGUAUAGACCCACCAAAAUGUCCUCUCUUCUCUAUCACCAGCCUGCGUGGAAAUAAGACAAGACCAACACUGCAUUCUAGCGGAAUGUGUUGUGCAAACUCCUUCCAUCCAAGCAAGGGAACAGAGAGGCAUACUUUGCUCUUAGCUCCAUGCAAAGUAGCACAUAUCCUUAUCAUAUCCUACCCAACAGAUUACUGCAAUAUGAGCCAUGAAGGGGACAGAAGAACAUGAAAAACGGCUGACAACAAAUCAAGCCAAAACAUUUCUCUCAAAAUGGAGAAUGAUACAA
rnacentral:lncRNA from 1 species